AACGAACGCUGGCGGCGCGUCUUAAACAUGCAAGUCGAACGGCAGGAAGGGGCUUGCCCCUUCUGAGAGUGGCGGACUGGUGAGUAACACGUGGGUGACAUACCUUUUAGUUGGGGAUAGCUAUUAGAAAUAGUAGGUAAUACCGAAUGUGACCGUUCCUGUUAGAGGGGUACGAGGACAGGAGCUCAGGCUUCGCUAAAAUAAUGGCUCGCGGCCCAUUAUGCUCGUUGGUGAGGUAACGGCCCACCAAGGCGAUGAUGGGUAUCCGGCCUGAGAGGGUGAACGGACACAUUGGGACUGAGAUACGGCCCAGACUUCUACGGGAGGCAGCAGUUAAGAAUAUUCCGCAAUGGACGAAAGUCUGACGGAGCGACGCCGCGUGGAUGAAGAAUGCCGAAAGGUUGUAAAAUCCUGUUAAGCCUGAUGAAUAAGCACAGUAGGGAAUGAUUGUGCGGUGACGGUAGGGCUUGAAUAAGCACCGGCUAAUUACGUG
rnacentral:rRNA from 1 species